GUCUUCUGAUAUGACCGUAUUUUCUUGUAACCAAUGAUCCUUAACCUUUUAGUAGAGUAUAAUUCAGACUUAUAUUUUAGUAAUGUGUCUUCUGCUAUGACCGUAUUUUCUUUGUAAACAAUGUUCUAGCACUUCCCUUUGUCAUAUAGUGUCUGUUUGUGGACAAACAGUAUGAGUAAGUAGUUGGCACUGCCUCAUGAAAUUGAGCUUGCUUUCGUGGAUCAUCUUUUUGUUCCAGAUGGUCCACUUCUCUAUUGAGGUCCUGCCAUUUGUUGAAUAUUUUUCUCUGAAUUUAUUUAUAUAGCAGAAGAACAUUACUAAUGUGUUUGUGUUUCCAGAUAAUCCUCUUUUAGUAUCAAUUUUGGAUGGGAACACUUUGCGCAUUUUCUUAGAUGAUGAAGAUGAUUUUGAAAUGCUAGCUGAGACUCGAUAUAGAAGAUAAAGGAAAGAUCAAGAAGAGUGAGAUUAAAAAUGCUCUUGUUCACAUGGGGGUUGAAACGGGUGUACCCACCUCUCUCAGAAUAUCCUUUGCUGAGUGACAUUUAGCAAAAACAUGAAGUGGAGAGUGUAGCACUAAAUUGGGUCAAGCUCAAUUUGCAAAAGUGCUUCAGGCUGUCCUUCAAGAGUUGGCAGAUGCUCUACCAGAAAAGCCUUAUGUUUUCAUUCAAAAUAUGAAUAUCACUAAUGGAGCUCAGGUUAAAAAGGUAUCUAAUGAAGUUCUUUAAGUGUUCAAUUGGUGGAGAGGUUUAUGGCACUGGUAUCACUGAAAUAAAGAGGGGAAUUGCAGUGGAAUUGCUUAGCAGAAUGGCUUGAAAGUGGAAGAGGCGCACAAAUCUGCCAAUGCUGUUCAAGAAAAGGGAUUUAACUUUGAUGAUCCUAAGCUUAUGAGAGGAGCAUGGAGAAAUGAGCCAAACUCUGAUAUUUGCUUUCUUAAUGCUUUACAAGAAUCUAUUGGAGCAGUGAAAAUGAAGUCAUAUUUGCUGCAAUUGAUUAAUUUAUAGGCUUUUUUGUAGGUUUGGUAGCAAAAUUUUGGUUCAAAUGUACUUAUUUAAAUAGUUUGUUGUUACCAAAACAUGUAUGUUCAUUCUAUCAUUGUACAAAUCA